GGAGCCUCACGCGCCUCUUACCUAACAGGAAGUUGGGUGGAAGCAGCGCGGACCCACGGCGCACCGAACGCACUCCAACAGAACCCGACGCAGACACGCGCUUUCAACCGGCGGAGACACUGGCAGGCUGAUCCAUAUGAAUUCCUCUUAUUAAGAAAAAUAAAGCAUCCAGGAUUCAAUGAAGAACUGACUAUCACCUUGUUAAUCAUUCAGAAACAUGUUGCAGGCUUAAGCCAUUUUUGAUAUAGAUACUGAAACAAUUACUUGCUAAGAGCAAACUUGAAGGUAUGGAUAAGGCCCUGAGUCAUCUUCCUGAGCUGAAUGAUAGUUAAGCUGAAUGACUGGACCUCACUGUGGGAACAACAAGAUCAACAAGAGGAGCAAGAACAACAUCAAGAGUCAGGGCCCGGGGGUCCUGACGGGUACAGGAUGGGUACAGACCCACACAGGAAUCCCAGAGUGUGUUCCACAGCAGGACACGCCUGCGCUGAAAGAGUGGGCAGAAAGGAGCUGACCUGGGAUUAUGAUCCAAACUCAGCUGGGCCUCCCCUACCUGCCCCAGGAUUGUGGAGUGAGAACGUUGCAGCAGGGGAGAACAACGCAGCAAAGCACAGCAGGGGAACCGGAAAUGCUCACCCUUUGACAGGACCAAACCAAUGCACAACUCCUACGUACUGAUGGUGGUCUUACGUUUCCCUAAGUUUCUGCCGACUAAACUGUGCACACGUUCUCAGGACCUCCUGAAGCUGCGUCACAGGCGCUGAUCAAAGAACACAACCAAGGUGAGUGUCAAUCAUUUCAAGAAAUCUAUUUGCAAGGUUAAGGACACACCUGAGAAAAGAACAGAGAACCACAGGAAAAACUGUGGUCCGUGCUUUUCCCAAAGAUUGUCUGGGGGCCUCAGUAAGUAAAGGGGAAAAGUGCGGGUAUUGGGGAAAGGGGAAGAAGUGGAAAAAAUGGGUGUGGGUAAAUCAGAGGCAAAUGGUUGCAUUCUUCUGUCUUUGGUCAGUGUUCACUGAAUACACAUUUUACAUGCGAGGGAGGUAGAGGCAGGGAUGUAGCUUUUUUAUCUUUGUGUAAUAGCUAUCUUAUUUAGGAACCAGAUGGGAAGCAGGUUUGCAUAAGCCAGUUCCCAGCUUGGCUUUUCCCUUUGGCUUAGUGAGUCUGGGGUCCCAGGAUUUAUUUUCCGUUCUCACAGGUUGUGGUCCUCACAUUUGGCUCAAAAUAUUCAAAAUUUUUUCCAGAGUUUGGCCUUUUCUUCAGCACUGGGAAUUGUGAUCCAAAGCUUUUCCUGAUGAGGCACAAAGUUGGAGAAACAAAACGCAAACUAAGCAACAAUGAAACAGAACAGAGUGAAUCUGCUGUAGCUCAAGAGAGGACGUAGCUGCCCCCACCCCGCAUCCCCGGGCUCGGGUUUGCCUUGCUGACCUCUGCUGCCACCUGGUGCCGCACAGAGAAACUGAGGAGAAACCACAUCAGUCUCCUUCAGCCUCAGCUUCACAUCUGUGGGUCAAGCAACCCUUUCAGAAGCUGAAUAAUGUGGGAAAGCUUUCCUCUCAGGAAAAUGCACACAUCCAACUUUGAGA
rnacentral:lncRNA from 1 species